CAGGAUCGCCGGACAGAAUUUCAUAUCACAACAUAUAUGGAUCGCCGGACAGAAUUUCAUAUCACAACAUAUAUGGGCUUUGGAAACCGCUUUCAUGCCACGUUAGUGUUAUAUGACAGUAUACAAUGAUCUGACAUCACAUGUGGCCUUCUUUCCACUUACACCAGAUCCAUCAGUACAUUGCAUCUUCACGUCCCUACUCCCAGUAUUGCAAAGCUGUGAGUCCUGACAAAACGACACAGAACUGGUGCCAUGAUGACUGAUUUGCAUUGUUCCACCUUGUUCUACCCAUGCAAUGUCGGAAAUCUCAGAAAAACAUCACAGGGGCAGAGGUGUUCCACCUCCAUCCAACCCAAGGCAGCAAGAAUGGUAUAAUGUACAGUAUAUGACUAUUACUUUGCUUUGUGGGUUAGUGAUAAUUGAUAGUACUAGAAAGCAAGGAUUAUUUAUCUUUUCCAUGAUUAGAUAAUAAGAAUACUCUACUUUGUAAAAUGAUGAUGAUCUGUUGGACAAGUCUUUUUCUUACCCAACUCCCACUGUUCCCAUUCAUCUGUACUUUAAUUCACUAGAUAAAUCCAAUGAAUGCAAGUUUUUUUCCAUUAUGCCAUUAGAGUAGACAUGCAUAGAAAUAUAAAGUGAAAUUAAGCCCCAUUAAAUAAUAUACAUUUUUCCCUUUAAGAGAAAUAUGGCGUGCAGCUGGGAAAUGAAUAAGCUGAAGAAUAUAUUGACAGGAUACCAAUAUAAGUCCCAAAUGAAUGUUGCAGCAUCCCACAUUUUAACUAAGUUUAACUUUUGAUACCCAGACGUUCUACACCUGACAAGAGUCCUCACAUGAUUUUAAAGCCUAUUUAAUUGAAAUUCCUGCCGCAACCUCUUAUCUUGUGGUUUCCACCUUCUUAGCUUCACUUUGAGCUGCUUUCUACUGGCUCCAGGCAUGCAUUGAGUCCUGCUGCUUAGGUUUGUUAGCCACCUGCCAUGCAUUAUCUGCCUACACUCUCUGGCACUACUGCCUAUUGUUGAUAAUUCAUCUUUAUAACAGUGUACACUUGAUAUUUAUUUUCUUAUCUCUCAUAGUAUGAAUAGCUAUGCUGGUGUGGAAUCUAUGUAGCAUCAUUUCAGAAGCUGAUUUCAACCUUCUUAUAAAAAAAAGCUAAGCAGAAACCUCUCCAAGUUUAACCCCUACAGUUGACAAUUGUAUACUAUCCCUGCUUUUAAGGCUGGUUUUACUGGAGCUUGUAAUUGUCUGCGCAGUUUUGUAAUUUCCAUCUUAUUCCUUUGAGAAAAUCAAAAACAAAACCACUUACAAAUGUCGGGUACCUACCCCUAUAUUUUGCGCUUGUGUGCACAAAUGAGAUGCUGACACAUGGUAUCGUUAAUGUUUUAUGGAGAUAAUUUUUAUAGGUAAUCCAACAUUACUAAUCCAGUGAGAUAUCAAACACCAUGGUAACAGCAAUGCUUUCAUAAGGCCUAAAUCGGAAACUGUGCAUGCACUAAACCUGUUCUGUGCAUGUGCAGAACGGGUCCUACAAUCGCAUCACAGUUGUGCCAAUGCCACUGUCUGAUUGAGGCCAAGGACUGUGACACGAGAUGCAGUUUUCCUGGCCUCACAAGCCGCCUUGCGAUGGGCUUACUCAGCUGGCAGUCUGUGUGACACAUCGUUUGCAAUGUUGACCCCAGGCUGCAAUGCGGCUGCAGCGCUGGGAUCGCAAAUGCAGCAAGGAGGUGUUUAACACAUCCUACUGCAUUUGCAUUGCUUUGGAUUGCAUUUUGCAAAGCUGCUGCAAGCAGAUUUACAAUCAUCAAUCCAUGAUUAAAAAGGGCCAUAGUUACAUGCAGACAAAGAAAUGGCAACUAGAUGAAAUAUUAUAUUUUAUUAUAUUGAAUUUAUACUAGUAUUUUGUUUUUGAAAUAUCAGCAAGUGCAGAGAAUAUCUAUAAAUGCAAUAAAAAAAUAUUUGCAUUUCAGCAUUUUCAAUUACAAAAAAAAUGCCCAUAGAGGUAAAUAUCUAUGUAACUAUGCAAAGUUUACUGUCAUAAAUUACCCUGAAAUUUGAAAUGUCAACAGUCUAAUUACAGCAGCUCUAACCGAGAUUCACCACACUCACCAAAUGACUCAAUCUGUCCCAUCUGGAAUGCUAGUGUUUUACAAUACAAAUGAUCUAGCCAAUCUCUUC